UUUUGUUUUGUUUUUUAAUUUUAUUUUAAGACUUCAAAGACAUUCAUGGAUCACAUGCGCCGUACACACAACGCCCCAUAUCGUUCCACGAGCUAUGCAUUCGAUAGUGUAUGGGCGGCAGCGCUACUAUAUCAGAGAAGUUUAUCUUAUCCAGAUUAUCGUCCAGAGAAUGUGAAGUUUCGAAGUCGUGAUGUCAGAGAGCUAUACGCCU